GGUGGGGAUGGACGUCAAGUCCUCAUGGCCUUUAUCGACCAGGGCGUACACACGUACUACAAUGGCCGAUACAAAGGGCAGCGACACUGCGAGGGUGAAGCCAACUCCCGUAAAAAUCGGUCUCAGUCCGGAUUGGAGUCUGCAACUCGACUCCAUGAAGUUGGAAUCGCUAGUAAUCGUGGAUCAGCAUGCCACGGUGAAUACGUUCCCGGGCCUU
rnacentral:rRNA from 1 species